UCUCAACUGAUUGUAGCUAGCCAAAAAAGAUUAUCUGUUUUCGAGAUGCUUAUUAAUGAUGAAUCAGAAGUGGGUUCAGAAAGAAGUCUGGUUCAUGAAGCUCAUUUGAAGGUUUAGGUAAGAUCAGAACAGAGACUCCAUUGUACUCACCAAACCAAGAGGGCAGGUAAUGGAUAUAAUCUGCAAGAUCUCUCAUAUUCCCUAUUCACUCGCUAGAUACUUGUCCUAAUAACAGUUAGUUUUAGUUUCCUAGACUACUUUCUGUGUCAUAUUGUUUUCAUGAACUGCAUACUUCAUGAAUCUAUUUUCCAUUUAAAAUGGUACUUCUAUUUGCAAGCAGCAAUUAAUUGACUCUCUAAAUUCAAAUUAUGGUUUGUCUACAUCAUAAAAGAAGGGAAUAUGAGAUUUCCAAAGAAGAUAAGUAUGUUUAUCACAAACCUGGAACUCUUUUUGAUAAGUAUGAUAUGAUGUGUAAGAAAAUCUAGUUACACUCCAAAGUAAAUUGUUUGUUGAGGUACGGACUGGUAAAGUGCAAUAUUACUUAUAUAACUGAUAUGACACAUUUAACUGGUG